CCCCGCCACCCUCACCCUGACUGACAUCGCUGCGCAGGCCCAAUGGCGGCCUGGCGGCGGCAGCUGAGGCCGGCCGGGAGGACGGACGGACAGACAGACGCGGAGGCGGGAGCCGGGGAGGAGCCGUGCGAUUGGCUGAACCUUCAGGACUCCAGGAGUCUCGCGUCGCGAAGCUUUGGCGUGCAGUCCGUCUGUCACGAAAGGAAGAAGAAGAAAAAACAUUCAAAAAACUAAAAUGAAAAGCCAGCAAUUUAGACUUGUUUUAAAAAAAUUAACAAAAAUACAAAAAAUAAAAAGACAGCAAGAGAAAUGAAGAUGAAGAACUUCUAAUGUUUAAAAAAAAAAAAAAAAAACUUUGAGAGACUUAUUUCUUCAAUUUUGUUAAAUUUUUUUCUUUGUAAAAAAAAAAAAAACACUUUGUCCUUAAAUCGUAUGUAAAUAGAGAAACUUUUCUUUUGCGGUGUUUGUUUUUCGUUCUUUUACUUGACCCUUUUUGUUUUUAUGUUGCUUUUAAAAAAUUUGGUGGUUUCGUUUUUUGUCUAUUUUGCGAGGAGGUGUGUGUUUAGCCACCGAUGCAGCCGCAGGGUGCAGGACCUGCGCGAGCCGCACUGAGACGCAGUGAAGUCACCCGCCGCGUGCGCCGUCGCCGCGGAAACGGGCGCGGGGAAGCCCCCCACCAGCGCACAGCACCCCCCGCCCCCCAGGAGCGUUGUGGGUUAUCGCCGAAUUGAAAAUUUAGUACUUAAAAGAAGACACGCUUUACAUUUCGACCGUUGUAAAUUUGACACGAGUCCUUGGCAGCACUGUGGAAGUAACGCAUGGGUUAUUCUGCUUUUUCUUUCAUUCGGGAAAAAAAACAAAAAUCAUUUUAUCGAUUCCUCUCCUCCCCCUAGCAAAAAUGUUCUGUUCCUUCUUUUCUCUGGGGUGUGCCUGUAUGUUCUGAACACUGGUGUUGAAGUUUCUUUUUGUUGAAGGUGAAAGAAUAAGCUCAACGUGUAUUUUAAUUUAUUGUCAUUUGUUUUUCGCUGUUAUUGAGCCCCAAGCUGAUCUAGUAACGAAGCUUUUUUUUUUUUUUUUUUUUUUUUUUUUUUGAGCUGAUGCAGAAUGUUCAAUUUUCUCUUUUUUUUGAGAUGUGGAGCCGGGGAAAAGAAAACAUGUUUGUAACCCUUUCCUGCUAAGAACAGUCACCGCGCCAGUUGGCUGGAGGAAGGCAGCUUACAGUUUCCCCCUCUGAAAUAUUCAUCGGUGUUUUCUCAUGUCUUUGAUAUUGUUCUGGCAGAUGUCUGAAUUCAGUGUGUUUGACUUUCCAAAAAAAAACAAAAAAAAAAAGAUACAAAACCAACCAAACAAGAAACUGCACCGUUGUUGCACUUUUUGCAUUGUAACUUUUAACAGAAUAUAAAGAAAAAUCAUACUACCUGUUUUAUAAAUGAUCUGAGCUCAUGCAAAUCGCAGAUUUUUCGAUCGACAUUCAUAAUUCUGAGAAAUCUGCUUGUAUGGCAUUUCAGCUUGUUACUGGUUCCUAAUAUACUGUUGUAACAAUCUGCAGUUUUAACUUUGCAUAUGGUACAGUCAAGUGUAGUGCAGAUUCUGCUUUGCUGUAGUGGCUGUUAAAUGCACUUCCAUGACCUUUUUGUCUCCCCACGAUUAAACCGAAGCUCAGUGCUUCGUUGUCACCAGAAUUGUACAUUCACAUUGCAUUUGUAACAAGGUCAACAAUGUUAGCGUUACGUCUGAGGAUAUGUAAAGCAUAGAUUAAUUUGUAUUAUUUGUUUGUUUUUUGUUUUUUUUUGGCCUUGCUUUGUGCAGUAACAAAGGAGUCUACUCUGAACUUGGUAAUUGUUUUCAAUUUUUGGUGAUUUUUAAAACUCCCAGAGCCAAGCCAAUGUUUCGAUUUAUUUUUUCCAUUUUCAAGAUCAAUGUUUUUUUUUCCUUUUUUUUUUUUUGAUGGGAUGUCGAGUGUUUACAACUAUAACGACAGAAAAAAGUUUACAAAACUUGAAUCUUAAACAGAAAUUGAUACGGAAAUUGUCCGUGCAUCGAUCCAGCUCUUCAUCUGUCCAAUUUUUGCAGUGAUAACUUUUCUGUCUGUUUAAAAUUCAAGACUUGAAACCCCAUGUAUCUCAUGUUGAAAUGCAAUGUUUGUAUCGCACAAUGUCUCUUAAGUAGUCAAUUACAAAAGUUCAGACCAAUCAAUAAAGUGGAUUAGUUCUCCACCUCUCGAAAUGUCAGGUCCAUUUCUUUUCCUUCCACAUAUUUCAUUUUUAAAAAAAAUAUUUGCAGGAACAGAACCCCUUUUGUUUGAGAAUGUGUGUAUGAUGGGUGAUUUGCAUCAACAGUGUAAUUGACAGUGUAAUAAAAUGGCAAGAUAAAUGUGUUUUGUACCAAUGAGAAAUCCAAGCCGAGAACACUUAUUUUCGACCAGGAGUCAGACUUACUGCUUUUGUUUAGAAAGCUUAAUUGGUUAGCUGCGUUGGUCAGUGGACAUGUGCUUUAAUGCUUCAUUAAACUGUUGUUCUCCUUUGAGCCGUUCGACUGCCAUCAUUGCUGCAGCAUGCAGGCGUGCAAGUGCUCUCAUCUUGACAACUAACAGGAUGUUGUGGUCAUGGAACAAAACUCAAUCAACACCAAAUAUAGCCUGGUCAAAGUUAAUAGAGCUGGAAUGCAGUAUUUAAAUCAGCAGCAUCUGUAUCUCAAAGCAAGAUGCAUUCUGCCACUGCAGAGACUAACCACAGUGUAAUGUUACUGUGGCGAAGAAAACUUCACCACUCUCUCACCACCCGGAAGCGCUAUUCGUCCACUGUAAGGUGAGAUUUUUCUGAGUAACUGCCAUUAAGGAUCAGCAAUGCUGUGCAAGAAGUAUUGGUCUUUCUGGACAUUCUUGUGCUGUGGUUUGAUUCCUGUGAUGGGACAGAGCCACUGCCAAAGACCUUGUGAGCCAGUCAGGCAUGGUCUGGCCGUUCCGCUCGACGCUGAUGUCCUUCUGCCCUGCAGCUUCCAGCCUGGCCUGCUCCAGGAGGCCCAGAGUUCGGGGCUGGCUGUUUUGUGGAAACAGGGCCAAUUCAAUUAUUUGGUGGAGCUCAAACUGCCUGAAGAAGCCUUAUUCUGGGAUUCUAGGAAAGGCAGAGUUGGAGUUUUCAAACAUCUUUUCCACGAAGGCAACUUCUCCAUCCUUAUGAGAUCGGUCCAAGAAUCUGACCUGGGCUUGUACCACUGUGAGCUGUUUGAGGGGAUCAACUGUAGCAUUGGCUGUCAAGAGGUGGAACUCAGUCUGCAAAAAGCAGGCAAUACAUGGCCGGGUGUGAUGGUGGACUACUGGUACUGCGUAGCUGGCGGUGGGGUCUUCCUUUUACUGCUCCUUGGUUGCGCUUGCUGUGUAUGGUGUAGAUGUGUUAAGAUGCAGCAGCCAAGCCACAGUUCUGGACGCUCCACUAUUGAAUAUAUAGAUAAUGAUUUGUACAGCAACGUGAACUACUAUCAAGGUUAGAUUUUCUUUUUGUUUUCAUUUUCUGUCUUUUAAAAAAAAAUUAAAUAUCCAACAUACUCUGAUAUCAAUGCUUUGAUUCUCUGUAAAUGCACAGACCUUACCUUUAUUAUUAACAUAGCAGUAUGUAUAUAUUGUGCGGCACAAAACAGUUUUUUAGCAUGGUAGUUAUAAUUCUAUGGGAAAUGUCAGGGAUGUGUUACACACAAUUUUGUGGGCCCAAAGAGUUAACAGUUUGAGUAACUGGAGAGCACUAACUAGGUGUAUUUUCUGUUUGUGACAAAAACAUGAUAUAGUGGAAGACGUAUUCUUGUUUGAAAGGGAACAAAUAGGAUUUUUCCAACCUUGUCAUAAGUGAGCUAUUUUGUUCACAGCCUAUGCAACUUCUAUUUUGUAACAAUUUAUAACACCAUAGGCAGCCAAUAAAAUGUUCUUAUGCAUAUUCAAACAAUUUGGUGAAAACGAAUUAUAUGUCACAAGUACUAUUUUAAUCAAUGUUUCACUGUACAUAUGUAUUGAGUUGAUAUUUAUUCAGGAAGUCAUCAUGUUGAAUUGAAUAACAAUUAAUUUGUUCAUGUUGCUGUAUUUUCUUAAAUGCAAACUUGCAAACUAGCAAGGUUUCUUUUGAGUGAGCUCUCCAGAUCAUUAUUUUAAUGCAUGCCCAGUAAAUUCCCCAAUAGACUAUAAUCUGAUUCAGAUUACUUCAAUUAUAUACAAUAUGUGUAUCUUGUUGUUUCCUCCAUUAUCUUUGAUGGGCCUCACAAAAUGUGUUGAAUUCAACCAAACACUUCCUCUGAGUUUAAUUCAGCUUUAGACAUUCCCUCUAAUGUGUUGUUGUUUCUCCUUAUUUCAGGCACUUUUUAGAUUGCACUGUAUUAUGAAGUUAAAAUGCUAAGGAUACAUUUUUAAGCUCAAUGUGUUAGUGACUAAUAAUCCCUUGAAACAAUAUGGAAUAUCUUGAAUUGUGAUUCAUUAUAAUGAUGCUUGGCCCUGAGGUCCCUGAGUUAAUUUUGAUCUCACAGGCCAACUUCCCCAGGAAAUCGAAGGUUGCCAUAGUAGCAGUAGCAGUAACAGAAAACAGGAUGAAGGCGAUGGACAAGAAAUGCCAUCCUCUAUCUAUGCCUGCGUAGCUGAAUUUCAGUUUUAAUUUUAUUUACUUUGUGAUACUGCAUUUAUAAAAUUUAUUACAUAUUUAAACUGUAAAAUAACCUCAGAAUUGUGGGGGCUGUGGAAAGAGGGAUGUGCAUUAACUGUUUUUGGAUUUUCAUAUGUAUUUCUUUGUCAAUAAACAAUAAAAAUAAGUGAAGUACUAUGUUAAACUGGGUCACAUACUUCUUAAUUUCAAUAGUUUCCAUUGUCUCUGCUGUGGUGCAUGGGAUUGCCUCGUUGGUAAUGCAAUGCUGUUUAAUAAAUGUAUACUUGUCUGUGCCA